AGGAGUCUAUAUAAAGACCCUGGUGGCUUGUUAUGUUCGUACAGUUCCCUGCCAAAGCAUCUAUACUUUAUAACAUGCAAGAAGCAGUCAGCAUUACUCAACAAGGAUUUGAAAAGUCUACAUGCAAUAAAGGUUCCAAAAGGACGUUUUAGAGUUUCCAAAUAUUGUCCAGCAAUCCUGAGACCAUGAGCAGUGUGAACUCUGCUGCAUGUCUACUGGCAACGAAUCACUUUUACCAGAAUUCCAGUCCAACCAACACAAUACAGCCUGUGUACAGUUUCUCUUAUAGUUUGUCAGAAGCAAGGCGAAGGCAGGUCACUACCUUCAAAACUGCCUCGUCACACCAAGGUUUGUCAGAACAGGAGCCAAAACGAUGGGUCUUAAGCUUUGUUUGGAAAAGUCCGUCAUCCAGGCCAGCCUCAACCAAACAGCUAGGUCCUGCUGGCCGUGUGAUCAAAUAGACAUCUGAACAACACUUUAUCUAAAGACUAUACCCGACAUUCCCUGAGCCACAGAAUAUUCUUUUCCUUUUGAACUCUAUUAGAGAUUGAGUUUAAAGACUUGGUCUACAUGCUGUGAAUAGUUUCCUAACAGCUGUACCUGUGCAUAUUAGGCCAUUUCAUUCAACCAGGAGGGUGGAAAAAAAGACAUGUAAUGUUCUGUCUAGUCAUGCGUUCCCCUAGUAAUUUCUUCUUAUUUUCCCCUAAAGGGCAAAAACAACUCUCUUGUGUUGACCCUCCUGGCCCCUAGUUAAGGAUGUGUGCAGCCUCAUUUCUCAGCAUCCAAUCAGAGCUUUACUUGAUCCCCCCUGCACCAACUUGUUGCCAAGCACAGGGGAAGAGAGAGACUGGAAAAAAGGAUAGUCUGUACAACAGAAAAACCUUUUGCAUUACCACGGUCAUUAGGGCUCAGUGACCCGAAAAAUAUGCAAACCCAUGAGGAGAAUCUUUGUACUUAUCUGUUUAAAUUAUCUGGUGGGAAAAAAAGUCCUUAGUCCAUUUCCUCAUUAUUACAUUAUAUCACAGCCUGAAUCAGCAUUUGAACUCCUUACUCAAAUGUAUCUCCCUGUUGACUAGUUCACUUUUUCACAGCCUUGUUCGUCCUAAUGUUCAAUGUGACUCAAAAGGAAGUUUCCAAACAGAAUGCACACACACACAUGACUCACACGAGCUGAAUGAACAUGCCAGUUACGUAACAGCUUGAGAUUAGCUCUUUAAACACGUCAAGAAAAAGGGACAGCUUUAUCGCUUUUCAUUAGGAACUCUGCGUCAACACAUUCACAAACAAUCGCAGGGUUAAGCACAAAAAUAAGCUUACACUGACUGAAUAAACCAAUUAUGAAAAUGGUUUAAA